UCUGUCGCGUGCGGCAGCGUGGAGGGAAUGGAAGGAAAUGACGUAGAUGAAAGAAGUCAGACACCGAAAGACAACUGCCCCGCAGGGAUGCCAAAGCGUUGACCUCACAGCAGAGAACAAGGGCCAAGCCUGGGGCCAGGAUGGAGAGGAGGAACCUGGGAGGGAGAAGCACAUUGCUGCCCUGCAGCGCGGGAGGAGACGGGACUGACUGCAGCUCGCUGGGGUUCCGGAACAGCCGGGAGAGUGAGGCGCACACGUCUCACCUAUCUGGACACUGCGUUCACGCACCCCUGCCGCCCUGCGGCCCAUAGCUCACUCAGUCCGACCAGCUGUCACCGUGACCAGAGGAUCACAGCCCCAUCUUCCAAGGCCACGACCCUCUCGAGCCAGCGCCAGUCUCCAGAGAGGAAGGCCACUCUGCACACGCUCCACGGUCAGGGUCUCUCCUGGGGAGCCUCCUGCCUCAGCCGUGCCCAACACCAGCUUGGCCAGAAGAGAGGCCCUGUUCCUGUUAGAGAGGGACCUGGACAGGAAGACAGAGAGAGACAGACAGAGAGAGAGAGAGGCAGAGACACACAGGCAGCGAUAGAGAAAGAGAUGGAAAGGCGAAGCUGUGGGAGGGACGGGGCCUGGAGUACAGCGUGGUGGCGAGGGCCAGUCCUGCCCCUGCC
rnacentral:lncRNA from 1 species